CUGCUGCGGCGAGAUGAAGUGGACAUGCGCGUCGAUGCCGCCGGCGGUGAGGAUGAGGUGCUCGCCCGAAAUGGCGUCGGUGCCCGGUCCGAGCGCCAGGCCGCGGGUGACGCCCGGCAUGAUCGCCGGGUUGCCGGCCUUGCCGAUGCCGCAGAUCAGGCCGUUCUUGAUGCCGACGUCGGCCUUGAUGACGCCCUGCACGCCAUCGAGGAUGGUGACGUUGGUGAUGACGAGGUCGGGGGCGCCGGCGGCACUGGUCAGUUCAUUGUCGAAGCCCAUGCCGUCGCGC
rnacentral:sRNA from 1 species